GAUGAACGCUGGCGGCGUGCAUAACACAUUCAAGUCGAACGGUGAUGAGGACUUCGGUCCUCUGAUCAGUGGCGGACGGGUGAGUAACGCGUGAGCAACCUGCCCUAUAUUGCGGGAUAACAACCGGAAACAGUUGCUAAUACCGCAUGACGUAUUCGGAUCGCAUGUUCUGAAUACCAAAGAAUUUUGAUAUAGGAUGGGCUCGCGUCCGAUUAGGUAGUUGGUGGGGUAACGGCUCACCAAGCCGACGAUCGGUAGCCGGACUGAGAGGUUGAACGGCCACAUUGGGACUGAGACACGGCCCAGACUCCUACGGGAGGCAGCAGUGGGGGAUAUUGCACAAUGGGGGAAACCCUGAUGCAGCAACGCCGCGUGAGGGAAGAAGGUUUUCGGAUUGUAAACCUCUGUCCUUGGUGAAGAUAAUGACGGUAGCCAAGGAGGAAGCUCCGGCUAACUACGUG
rnacentral:rRNA from 1 species